UAUAUCAGUUUCAAUAAUAUAAUAUAUUGUAUAUACAUAUAAUAUUGAUAAUAAUCUUAUGUUAUACAAUAUUAUACUAAUAGUAAUACCAUAUAAUAAUAUUAAUUAUAUGUUAUGUAUUACAUAUUAUAAAAUAGUAUAGUGGUAUAGUUCAAUAUAUUAAUAUAUAAUGCUAAUUUUGUGUUAAGCUAAUAAUAUAAUAUAUUGUAUGUACAUAUAGCUGCUCUGAGUCCCCUUCGGGGUGAGAAGGGUGGGAUAUAAAUGUAGUAAAUAAAUGCAGUAAAUAAAUAAUUAAUUUUAGACUUAGGCUCGGCCAAAGUCUGAAAUGACUUGAAGACACAACAACAACAACAAUCCUAAUUAACCUGACUAUCUCAUUGGCCAGAAGCAGGCCCACACUUCUGAUAGGUUUAUGUUGGUUACAAUUGUUUUCAUUUUUAAAUAUUGUAUUGGUCUUUCAUUGUUAUUGUUGUUGUUUUGCACUACAUAUAAGAUAUGUGCAGUGUGCAUAGGAAUUUUUUCAUUUUCUUUUUCAAAUGAUAAUUUGGCCCCUCAACAGUCUGAAGGAUUGUGGACCGGCCCUCGGCUUAAAAAGUUUGGGGACCCCUGGUUCAGGUUGUAGAUGUCAAUGUCUUCGCUGUGAGCUCUGUAAUAGAGCUGAAGGGCAGCAUUGCGUAGUGCUUUAGGAAAGAGGUGGGAGAGCUAGUGCUUUUCCAACAUUUGUCUCACAGUUUCCCAAAAGCUUCCCCCUCCUUUCCAUUAAAAAGAUUUCCAUUUUCACCUUGCUUCAUUCUUAGGGCCCUUGGGAAUUUCUUUCGGCGGUGUUCGUCAGCUCUAGUGCACUGCAAGACGGCUGAAGACAGGAAGUAUCCCUUUCUGCUUCUGAGGCAUGGAGAUGAAUUUCUUGGAGUUAGAGCAGACUGAGUUUCUGGAAUUCCAGAAAGUUUCACCAAUAUACAAAUCUAGGACGUCCAGGAAGACAUCAACAGACAGCUAUGUAAUGACAUGAGAGAGAUGUCCCAUUGUGUCCACCAGGCAGACAAUGACUUCCUUCAAAUACAGACAGCCUAAAACUAAUGAACAAAAUAGGUUCUGUAGGUUUGUUCUUAAGUUGAAUUUGUUUGUAAACUGGAAAAGAUACAUUUUCAAGUGUAACACCCGCUAAUAGUAUAUAUAUUUAAGUUUUGGAUAGCAUAGGGAAGGGUUAGCACCCCUGUGAUGUUUGUUUUGCUGUCUGUGCCCCUCUUCAGAAGAUUUCACCUCACAUUCUGUCCCUGUGAUAAUUGGAUUUUGAAAAUUUUGGCUUGUUGUAGAAACAAGGAUCAGUAAUAAAGCUUCAGUGGAGACAC